GCCGGUGGUGGGCGGAGGCUCGCCGGUCCACCGCCAGCUGACACUAAAACUAAACGGUCGACCCGACCGGACCGCACCGGACUAGACCAGACCGACUCCCAGGUCGAGCCGCACCUCACACCUAGCCUAGCCGCAUUCCGGCGCCGCCGCCGGCGAACUCCGCCUCUCCGGCGCCCUCCUCCCGGCCAAGACGCCGCGCUCGCCACCUCGCUCUCUUCCUCGUCCUCGUCCUCGUCCACGCACACGCCCAUCUCCCCGCCGCUUCCUCUAGCUUCUCCUCUUGUUCAGCCGCCGCGUGCUCCAGCCCGACCUCAACCUCCAGCCGUCGACAACGCACACGGUCUCCUCAGGACCGUGCAGGCGAGCUCACCGUAGGGCUGCCCGAGCACCCGGAGCUGCUCUCUUGAACUCCAUCUGUGUGGCGCCUGCGACGUGUUCGACGGAAUGUUCAAGCCAGCAGAUUGCAGAGCACUGUACUGAGAGGCACAACUUGGUACAGAUGGGUCAGAACUGGAAGCAGCUUCUCAAGAUUUCAGCAAUGUAAUUGGUACACUACCUGGAUGUACAUUGUAUAAAGGAGCCCUCUGCAUGUGGAGCGGAAAUAACUGUUGCGUCUAAAACAUGCCUGUGUGUGGUCUCGUAUAGCUGAAGCACAAUUGAACAAUAAGAUCUCAUGUGAUGGUUAAUUGAAUUGUCCGUCAUGCCUAUGAACAGUGAUGCAUUGGAGUAGCAUACUGUCUGAACCACACGCAGGAGCAGAUAUCCUCCUGUGAUCCUAGGAAAUCUAUACUCUUGAUGCGUAUACCUGACAGAAGAAAACGCCGCAAAGGCUUCAGACAUCAGUUUUGGCGGUGACAGGAAAGACAACCAAGAUGGACUCAUUGAGCCUGACGACUGUGUACAAGUGUGCCUUUCUUCUGCUUCUUCUUGCUGACUUGCUGCCUGGCCACGAUAGCUACGCCCUUGCCUUCCUAGCUCACCUGGACAGGUGCACCAGCGCCAACACCAUCCACUGGCAAGCUCGAUACUUAGGACGGGGAGCUUGAUUCAUCCAUGGAUUCGGGAGUGUUCGGCAUGCUGCUGCUUGCCCUGUUUGCUAAGUGCUGCUGUUGCUUCCCUUGCCGCUCCUGUAGUUCCCAACAAAGACCAAACUGCGAGCCAAGAGAGAAAGAGCAAGAGCAGUUCUUCAACAGUGUAUGCGUUAAUGGGAUCAGGAGCUGCAAUAUUUCCUUGCUACCGCCGCAGGAAUGCUAGUAUUGUUGUGCCCGUGUCUUCAAGUAGGCAAUUGCAGAGUAUUGUCCUGAGAGCAGUGUGUCUUUCCUUUAACCAAUGAAACAAAAAAUUGAGUCAACUUCUAACUUGGGUUUUGGAGGCGUAACUUGGUACUGAUGGUCAGAACUGGAAGCAGCUUCUGAAGAAUUUAGCAACUUAUGCAAUUGGUACACUACCUGGUAUUGUGCAUUGUAUGAAGGAACCCUCCCAGGUGGAGCGGAAAUAGCUGUUGCGUCUACAUUGCAGUAACAUGCCUACGGGCUGGCCUCCUAUAGCUGAAGCACAAUUCAAGAAUAAGGUAGCAUGGGAGGGUUAACUGAAUUGGCAGUCAGUCAGUCACGCCUACAGACAGUGAUGCAUGGGAGUAGCAUACUGUCUGAACCACACACGCAGCAGCAGAUAUCUGUUAUCACAGCUCUAUUCUCACAGAUGGAUUACUCGGCAAUUAUCCCCGCAAAAAAAAAAAAAAAAGGAUUACUCGGCAAUUGGGUUUACAGCCAUGGAUUCACCAGGUUCAAGCAAUUACACAGGAAGAUGAACUAGGGAGGAAGGAGAUAGCCAAAGCAGAGGAGGCCAAAGCCGUCCAUUCCAAGCUGAUGCCACACAGAACCACCAGGAUCCCAUUGCACUUGAUGUCCCUGGUUAUGAACCAUGUUGAAGAUAUCAAGGUAGCAGCCAAUGCAGUUGAGGAAUGCGUCGUAGUAAUACUCAUUGUCAGCAUGGACUUUGUCGAAGUAGCAAUCAUAACUGAUGUAGUAGAAGCUACUGAUAUGAGCUUGAUUGAUGUCGUGAGAUGCAGGUUGGGCAUGCCCCCCUUCUUUAGCUUGAUCUCGUUUGCAGAUCCUAUGGUAGAAGUAGAGAGGUGCCCAUAUGUCAGGAGCCCAUGAAACUUCCUGGGACCAAACUUCAUACUGCUGAAGUUCCAUAUGACGACAUAAACAAGCAGCUGAAAUGUUGCUGCACUUAUCUUGCUUGAAGGGAAAUAAUGGCAGCCACAAUCUGUCGUAUGGCAAGACUGAGACCCAAUCACCAGCAAGAAAACUUGCACUUCCAAUAGAAGCUUUUUGCAGUUGAGAAUUUGAGAUACAGGCUAUUUAUCUGCAGCUGACACCUCCCAUGAAGGCCAAGGCUUGAGUUCUUUGUUAGCAGAGGCCUCUUCCAAGAAUAAGUAUGAGUACCAAGUCACCGCCGCUAAGGCUUGUGACUUGGUGGCGGAGAUAAGAUCGGCACUGUCAUGUUUGGAGACGGCGGUCAGAGUAGUAAUGAGAAUAAUGCAGCUGUGUGUAGCUUGGAGGGCCGCAUCGUUUGGCGUCAACGAGACCUUCGCCGUGGCAGAUAUGGCUGCAGCCAACUUCAGAAAUUCACUUGACCAAGAAAGUUGCCACUGAACAUGUGCAGAGAAUGGUCGCCUGAACAAGUUCCUGCCAUCAGCGUACUCCAAGUCAAACAACCGAAAAUGCCAGGGUUUCAUCUCUAUUAGUGCUCCAAUAACAUCCUGCAGUUUCCCAAACUUAAGAUAAGUGGCCCAAGAACUGUUCUGGAACUGUAGUUGGUUGAGACAAAUAUCCAUGACAUCAUGAGUGUAGAGAGCCGCAGCAAAAUCAACACCAGCGAGAUGCUUGUGACCAUCAAUUAAUUUUUGUCCAUUGUCACACGGCAAGUCCCAGAACUCAUAACUUGAAACCAACUGAAGUAGUAUCCUCCUAUGCCACAACUCAAUCUUGCAAGCCCCUGGAUCCCAAGGCAGUAAAAGGUAUGUGUUACCUGUAGGAAACUGAAAAAUUGGCCAGGGCAUUGCUUCAUCGUACUUGACCACGAGAAUCUAUGAACCUAACACCACUGCAGUCAGACUGUAAAUUAGGGAAGGAUCAUAAAAUAAGAUAGAAGGCCUGUUGAAGAUGCACGAAACUGCCUGCAGAGAGAUGUUGCCGCCAUUCUGAAAGGUAGCAACAGUGACUAGGCCAGUGGCAAGCAGACUGGUAAUAGCUGAGAUAGCUUUCAGCUUCAUAUGCCGAGGUAUAGUGACAAUAAGAAGGUCGACACUCUCCGCAUUGACGAUGAUGGACUGGUCGGUGUCGGAGUUGUUGCUCUCCGUCGAAGCUUCUGCGCCACCGGAUGACCACAUCGAACAUGGGGCUGUUGACACCUAAGUGAGCUCCAUGUUACUCACGGAAACAACACCAGGUGCAGGAGCCAUCUGGAGCGAGUCGUCCAUGGAAGAGGGUGCCUCUAUGAUCUGCUGGGCACAAUAGCCGGAGUUAAGUUCAGUCGUCUAUCCUUUGGCUAGCAGCUCUGCGGUGAGGAUGAUGUCCUCGCAUGGAUCCAUCUUAGUAUUGAUGGCCUCAGGGGCGACCUCGAUGUGGGGAACGCCCUUGCACAUCACACAAGCAGUCGGGCCGGUGGUAGAUGCAACUUCGUUGAUGUCGCCAUGGACCCCAACUCGUAUGGCAAAGCAAACUUGACGUCGAGGUAGCAGCACUCCUCAAAGAGAUACUUGCCAUGCAGGGACACAGGAGGCCGAGCCGCCUCAUCCCUUGAUCUCAACUGGACAAUGGCCUUCAAGUAGUGAGAACCCUUGUGAGUGGUGGCUCUCGGAUUCACAACGAGCCAUUG